GAUGAACGCUGGCGGCGUGCCUAAUACAUGCAAGUCGAGCGAACAGAUGAGGAGCUUGCUCCUCUGACGUUAGCGGCGGACGGGUGAGUAACACGUGGAUAACCUACCUAUAAGACUGGGAUAACUUCGGGAAACCGGAGCUAAUACCGGAUAAUAUAUUGAACCGCAUGGUUCAAUAGUGAAAGAUGGUUUUGCUGUCACUUAUAGAUGGAUCCGCGCCGCAUUAGCUAGUUGGUAAGGUAACGGCUUACCAAGGCAACGAUGCGUAGCCGACCUGAGAGGGUGAUCGGCCACACUGGAACUGAGACACGGUCCAGACUCCUACGGGAGGCAGCAGUAGGGAAUCUUCCGCAAUGGGCGAAAGCCUGACGGAGCAACGCCGCGUGAGUGAUGAAGGUCUUCGGAUCGUAAAACUCUGUUAUUAGGGAAGAACAAAUGUGUAAGUAACUAUGCACGUCUUGACGGUACCUAAUCAGAAAGCCACGGCUAACUACGUG
rnacentral:rRNA from 1 species